AUACGUAGGGUGCAAGCGUUAAUCGGAAUUACUGGGCGUAAAGCGUGCGCAGGCGGUUUUGUAAGACAGAGGGGAAAUCCCCGGGCUCAACCCGGGAACUGCCUUUGUGACUGCAAGGCUAGAGUACGGCAGAGGGGGAUGGAAAUCCGCGUGGAGCAGUGGAAUGCGUAGAUAUGCGGAGGAACACCGAUGGCGAAGGCAAUCCCCUGGGCCUGUACUGACGCUCAUGCACGAAAGCGUGGGGAGCAAACAGGAUUAGAUACCCUGGUAGUCCACGCCCUAAACGAUGUCAACUGGUUGUUGGGGAUUUAUUUCCUCAGUAACGAAGCUAACGCGUGAAGUUGACCGCCUGGGGAGUACGGCCGCAAGGUUAAAACUUAAAGGAAUUGACGGGG
rnacentral:rRNA from 1 species